AAUGCAAUAGAAGUGAAAACGUGUAAUCUAUUUCGUAAUAUUUGGUGUCCAAAUCAACUUGUACCACCAAGAAUUGAUCACAUGAGAUCAACAAACUGUUUUUUGCAUCAAACAACAUAUAAAAGACACACAAAACCAAAACAAUUCAGAGAAAGCUCACAACGCAUUUUGAUAUCAGAAUGAUGGGGUAACCCAAAUCGCCGGGGAUACAAUAUUAAAACCAGAAAUGCCUUGAUUCAAGGGUUCAAUGGUUUCAUCUUCGACAUUGUAAGCCCCUAUCUCUCUUGAAUCAUCUCCUUCGGUGUACACACGUGUCCAAUCAUAGGUAAAAUAUAUAUGAUUAGGUUUCACUCCAACGAACUUGGAACAGUCUAUGGCAAUUGAUGCAUUACAUCCCACAUAAAUUGCUUUGUCUCCCAAGCUUUUUAUCUCUUCUGCUUCUCCUUUGAUUGCAUCUAUUUUGAAUAGUCGAAAUUUAUAUGUCUUCGACACAUUUGCUACAUCUUUCACAAUCAUCAAUUGUUGAACAAAUAAUAGUUCACCUGACACUUCAAUGAGAAAGUGAGCGGACUGGUUUGUGUGAUUCGAU
rnacentral:misc_RNA from 1 species